rnacentral:rRNA from 1 species
CAGUCGCCACGGUAAAACGAAGGGGGCUAGCGUUGUUCGGAAUUACUGGGCGUAAAGCGCACGUGGGCUGAUAUUUAAGUCAGGGGUGAAAUCCCAGAGCUCAACUCUGGAACUGCCUUUGAUACUGGGUAUCUUGAGUAUGGAAGAGGUGAGUGGAAUUCCGAGUGUAGAGGUGAAAUUCGUAGAUAUUCGGAGGAACACCAGUGGCGAAGGCGGCUCACUGGUCCAUUACUGACGCUGAGGUGCGAAAGCGUGGGGAGCAAACAGGAUUAGAUACCCCUGUAGUCCCUGUCUCUUAUAC